CCUACGGGAGGCAGCAGUGGGGAAUAUUGCACAAUGGGGGAAACCCUGAUGCAGCGACGCCGCGUGAGGGAUGAAGGAUUUCGGUAUGUAAAGCUCUAUCAGCAGGGAAGAAAAUGACGGUACCUGACCAAGAAGCCCCGGCUAACUACGUGCCAGCAGCCGCGGUAAUACGUAGGGGGCAAGCGUUAUCCGGAUUUACUGGGGGUAAAGGGAGCGUAGACGGCGAUGCAAGCCAGAUGUGAAAGCCCGGGGCUCAACCCCGGGACUGCAUUUGAAACUGUAUAGCUGGAGUGUCGGAGAGGCAGGCGGAAUUCCUGGUGUAGCGGUGAAAUGCGUAGAUAUUAGGAGGAACACCAGUGGCGAAGGCGGCCUGCUGGACGAUGACUGACGUUGAGGCUCGAAAGCGUGGGGAGCAAACAGGAUUAGAUACCCCGGUAGUC
rnacentral:rRNA from 1 species